GCAAUUGUACCGCUCCAUUCUCAUCGAAAUAAGUAUAGGAUGGGUGAUUAUUUCGCACUACUUUAAACAGCAAGAAAAUUUAAAUAUGUAGAGCAAGGUGGACGAUUAUACCGCACCACCUAAAAUUGCGAUAAAAUUUAAAUAUGCAAAGCAGGGUGGACGAUUAUACCGCACCACCUAAAAUUGCGAUAAAAUUUAAAUAUGCAAACCAGGGUGGACGAUUAUACCGCACCACCUAAAAUUGCGAUAAAAUUAAAUAUGUAAAGCAGGGUGGGUGAUUAUUUCACACCACCUACAAUUGCGAUAAAAUUAAAUAACGGGAAAAUUUAAAUAUGCAGGAUAGAGCGGGCGAUUAUACCGCUCCACUUAAAAUUUGCAGUAAAAUUAGAUCUGCAAUCCAAGAUAGGCGAUAGAACCGCACAAUCUUGGAUUGCAUAAAUAAUCAGUGGGUUAGUAGUCAAUAUCUACACCAAACAAGAAAUCAAAGAUAUAAGUGACUCUUAGUUGGAGAACUAGAAGUAAACAUGGUGCAAACAGUUCUUCGCGAGGGUAUACCCAGCAAUUGAGGGAGAGGAAGAAGAAGAACAGUAAAAACCUUAAAGGAAACAUUUUUUUUUUUCUUUCGGUGAAAGGAAAUGAGAAAUGAUUAGAGAGUCGUGCUGAUAACGUGUUAUAAAUAGGCAAAAUUUAUAGAGAGAUAACCUUUACUCGGUGAAGGAACGAAUCAGUUGCAGAGUAAUAUACCGACACAAGCUGUUGCAGAGGAAGUAAUGUAUAUUAUUGCUAUUAGAUAUAUUUCUCUUUUCUUUCUUCUUCUCAUUCACUACCCUUUGCACAAUUGAAGUGCUCUAUUUAU
rnacentral:lncRNA from 1 species